rnacentral:rRNA from 1 species
GAUGAACGCUAGCUACAGGCUUAACACAUGCAAGUCGAGGGGCAGCGGAAUCGAAAGCUUGCUUUCGGUAGCCGGCGACCGGCGCACGGGUGAGUAACGCGUAUCGAACCUGCCUCAUACUCGGGAAUAGCCUUGCGAAAGUAAGAUUAAUGCCCGGUGUUUUCAGAGUCCCGCAUGAGGCUUUGAACAAAGAUUUAUCGGUAUGAGAUGGCGAUGCGUCCCAUUAGCUUGUUGGCGGGGUAACGGCCCACCAAGGCAUCGAUGGGUAGGGGUUCUGAGAGGAAGGUCCCCCACAUUGGAACUGAGACACGGGCCAAACUCCUACGGGAGGCAGCAGUGAGGAAUAUUGGUCAAUGGGCGGAAGCCUGAACCAGCCAAGUAGCGUGCAGGAAGACGGCCCUCCGGGUUGUAAACUGCUUUUAGUUGGGAAUAAAACGGGGCUCGUGAGCCCCCUUGCAUGUACCAUCAGAAAAAGGACCGGCUAAUUCCGUG